rnacentral:rRNA from 1 species
UAUGCCCAGACAUAAACCCAGGCAGCAACCUAACCCACACUGCCCGCCAGAGAACUACACGCACCCUAGCGUAAAACUCAAAGGACUUGACGGUGUCUCAUAUCGCCCUAGAGGAGCCUGUCCUAUAAUCGAUAAUCCACGCUAUACCUUACCCCCCCAUUGCAAAAACUUUCCAGCCUAUAUACCGCCGUCACCAGCUCACCUUUUGAAAGCCAAAUAGUGUGCAAAACAAUCCACCACUAAAACGUCAGGUCAAGGUGUAGCUAAUUGGGGGGCAGCGAUGGGCUACAUUUUCUAUUAAUAGAAGCCCCCAGCAGCAUGAAACAAUGCCAUAAGACGGAUUUAGCAGUAAACAGAGCAAGAAUCGCCCAAUUGAAGCUCGCCCUGAGACGCGUACACACCGCCCGUCACCCUCCUCAACAAACCAAAAUAUAAAGCUAACUAAGCCGCCCUUUACCCCAACCUUAGAUGAGGUAAGUCGUAACAUGGUAAGUGUACUGGAAAGUGCACUUGGCAAAAC